ACAGAAGAUGCAAGAGAACAAAAAAGACUCUACUUCCUCAUCAUCAAUG
rnacentral:sRNA from 1 species